rnacentral:sRNA from 1 species
UAAUACUUGAACGGGAAACAUCAUGUUACGUGAAUUUCCUUUUUAGGAUUACGGUUGUCUGUUGUUGUUAGUUUUGAAAAGGAGAUUCAUUUUCAUGCAAAAAGGUACAGUUAAAUGGUUCAACGCUGAUAAGGGUUACGGCUUCAUCACUGGUGAAGACGGCCAAGACGUCUUUGUACAUUUCAGCGCCAUCAAUGGCGAAGGCUACAAGAGUCUUGACGAAGGUCAGGCUGUUUCCUACGAUGUAGAACAAUCUGAUCGUGGCCCUCAGGCUGCUAACGUUACCAAGCUUUAAUUCUUGGUUCGUUAAAGGAGAUCCAAUCGGGAAACCGAUUGGGUCUUUU